GCUGUCUUAGUCUUAGGACAAACAAAUGCUCAUUCUUCCCUAGUGAUAUUAGAGCAUGGAAUGGGUUGCCUGAGCUAGCCAGGAAAACCAAUAUGACUUGGCAGAAUUUAGGUCAUUGGUUAACGUGCAUGACUAGAUGCAUGACGCGUAGGACGAAGGCUAAUCAUCUUCUUCUUUGAAGUAACGUCUGUAUUUUAUAAGAUAAUAUACGUUUGUGAUGCCUAAUUCUAAAAUCUCAUUUAUCUGGAGGCAGAUCUCUUUGAUCAAACCAAGACGAAAUGCUACUGACGGAGUUUUUUAUACGGCAAUGCAACCAAGUUGUUUGUGACAUUCUUGUGGGUGGAAGGAAGAAGUUGGUCAAAGUUGGAAAUUCCUGAAAUUAGCAGUGAAGCAGACAGAGAGUCAUGCUAAUAAUGAAAAUGUCAUGAGUUUAAUUCCCAUACUGGCAUUUUUUUUUAAACGACAAUCCAACCUGACUUUAACUUUUAUAAGCUAUGAAUUGAUUAACAUUUUUUACAUCAAUAGUUUGUUGUUUUUUUUGGGAGGGUUUUGUUUUAAUUUAAACCUGUUAUAUUGUGUAAACAUUUUUUUAUCUUUUAUUUCAUAGCCACAUUGUCAAGAUGGCUCGAUAGUAAAUUAAUUUUGUCUAGCUUAGAAUAUUGUUACAUUGUUUAAAGGGAUGUUUUUACUUUUUCUUGAGAGGAAGAGAAUGGCACUAAAACAUAAUCAGUUCAAUUUCUUUUUAAACUACUUUUUGGCCUUAAGGUUUACCAUUUUUGAUAAUGUUUUUGACUAAGAUUCGUUUUUGGUUUUUCUUGGGAUUAAAAUUUAUAUUACUUAAUAUCAUCAAGUUAUACAAA